ensembl:snRNA U6 U6 spliceosomal RNA
AUUUUCUUUGAAAAAACUUAUACUAAAAUGGAAACCACAUAGAAAAGGUUAGCAUGGCUCAGCACAAAGGUGGCACACAAGUUUGUGAAGAUUACUAUAUUUUC